rnacentral:rRNA from 1 species
UACGGAGGGUGCAAGCGUUAUCCGGAUUCACUGGGUUUAAAGGGUGCGUAGGUGGGCAGUUAAGUCAGUGGUGAAAUCUCCGGGCUUAACCCGGAAACUGCCAUUGAUACUAUCUGUCUUGAAUAUCGUGGAGGUAAGCGGAAUAUGUCAUGUAGCGGUGAAAAUGCUUAGAUAUGACAUAGAACACCAAUUGCGAAGGCAGCUUACUUCACGAUCAUUGACACUGAGGCACGAAAGCGUGGGGAGCAAACAGG